rnacentral:lncRNA from 1 species
ACUGUAUGCGUGGAUCCGUGUGUGACUGCAAGGCGCCGGCUCUCGGGCCGCGUUUGUGCCUGGAGCAGAGAAACUGCGCGGGAUGCAGAAAGCCCCAAGCCCUGCUGGAGCUGGGCGCCCGCUGUCCCUUCCCUGGCAGUCCUCUUCCUCGGGCGCCGCGGGGCUCCUCCAGGGAGACUGCGGAAGGGGAGGAGGCGAAGCGAAAACGGAGGGCAGCCGUAGUAAUAGCGCGUAGUAGUUCGGGGGUAUGUGGAGAAGGUGCUGGAAUUUAACUGUGCCUCCGCCUGCCAGUGCGAGCCUGCAGAGAGAGAGGGAGGGGACGGGGGACGGGCUCCGAGUGGCACCAAAGCUGUUUGUGGCACAGUGUGGACUGUGGAAAAAACGGGCAUUGUCGUGCCGGCUGAAACUUUUUCUCCCCCUUCCCUAAGGCUGUCAUUAUAAAUCUGCCCCCUAUUCCAGGUAAAAAAAUAAAAAAUAGAAAAGGGAGGCGGGCACAAAGAACGUUCCUGCCAAAUCUGUCUCUUCCCUGAAGGACUGCAAGCUUCCAAAUGCCAACGAGGGAGAAACAGCUGAGAGGCUGAACGCCUUAUAAAUAAGUAAACCCACCCUAACCUCUCUGUUUACUUCGUGGACUAGGUACAGCACUAUAACCUUCCCUCACCUGCCAUCUUCGCUAAAAUAUAUACAAAAAUAUGGAAAAACAAACCCUGGGGGCGGGGCUGGCGGGUUAGGGGGCGGCUGAAGCAUGGAAUCUGGUUUUGAUUUAAAAAGGGGAAUAAAUCUCUUAUUUUCUACAGACCGUAGUCUCUUCCCUCUCACCCCGCAUUUGAGACCAAUUAAGGCUGCAAAUUGUAAUUUGCUGGCAAGUCGCGGUUUUGAGACCUCUUUGCUCCAAUUUUCCUUGAAAUACAGUACUUUGGCCGGACCAAUAGGUCGGUGUUUGGUGAGACAAUUUUAUUUUUAGUUUUAUGAAGUGUGAAAGAAUGUUAGGAGACUUUAAAUCAGGGGCCUAUUAUUUUAGACUCAGAUUAAUGUAGAUGCUUGACUCUUAAAACUGUUCCUAUGCAGUAGUGUUAUGAAAAGUAUGAUUUAUCCCUUAUUUCGUAAUGUAAUGGCUUAAAUUAGUCAUUCAAAGUGCACUGUGACUAUCUGGUUGAGGAUUCUUCCCCCUAGAGUAAAAUCCUAUUUUAAGACCAUUUUACUGUUGCAAAAUUGACUCCAUUUGAGCAACUGGGUCUGAAAUGCAGUUCUAGGAUGCUUAAAACUUCAGGCUGGAUAAGUUGAAGACAAGAAGUAAUGGAAAGAACGCCAAAUACUGCCAUGUAGUCAUUAAGAAGCAAGAAUUCUUUAUAUCACUGGUCCACUGCUGGCUGAAGCAGAGCCCACUAGGGCAGCAUUUUCAUGAUGGCUGGGAGUGUUGGUGAUCACCCACCCUAUAGCUUUCUAAGGUCUUGCUACUUGCUUGUUAACUUUAGCUUCAUCAUUUUCUGUCUAUCUUGAAGUGAACCUCAAGACAACGAAAGAUAACACAGCUAAGAGAAAUAGAAUAUAGUGUGCCCUGAAGGAUCCAUUGUAAGAACUUGUUUUUCUGCCUGAGGAUAUGCCGGUAUAACUAUUAACUGAGAAAUAUAUAGGGAGAAAUUUUAAACAAGACUAGUAGUAUAGUAAAAGUGUAACAUAAAUACUAACUUCUAACUGCCUAAUAAGUCGCAACUAAUAAUAUAGCCAGAUAACCUACCUGUCUCUAAUAAAGAGAUUUAACCUAAUAGCAAUGCUUAUUACAUUGAGAGUAUUAGGUUUUAAUUUUUUUGGGGUCUAAUUUGUUUCUCUGGCAUGCCGGCCUCACAUGCCAAUUUUCAGAAAUUGAUAACUUCACUUUUAUUCCCUUGUGAAUAAAUGCCCUUUAUCCCCUUAAGAUUCUACUUCCACUUGCCAUGCAAAUCCUCAAAAAAACAAAAACAAAAACAAAUCAAUUAGUAAGUCCCUGGAGAAAGAAACUGUCCAUUCCUUCUGGCAUUUUGUCACAGGGAAAGUAAAGAAGAAAACAUUCCCUUUGUUAUAUGUGUAUAUUCUUCAGCUCAUAUAAAAUUUUGAUGUUGUCCUUGGAGGCGUUGGUAUCCACGCAUUGUAUACACACAGCUAUGGGAAUUAAAAUACAUCGUUGGGAACAGAGAUUAAAUAUAGAUAUUGCAUCUCCCUCUCCCUUCGCAUUGGUCUAAGAAAGCACCACCUUCCCCCAUCACCCUUCAAGUUGUUCCUCUAAAAAUUCGUCUUGUUUGUAGUUUGUACCCUAGCAGUUACGAAUUUUAUAAAAUAAGGCCUCAACACAGGAGAAAUGAAAAGGCAGCGUCAUUCACUUGGUACAAAAAGAAGAUUGUAGAACAUAUAGCAUGAGUUUCACCUCUGAGGUAAAACGAAAUUUAACAAUUGAAGUUAAGGAGGAAAAUGAUGGGUUUUUUUUGUUUUGUUUUGCAGAAAAUCAUACAAAAGCAAAUGUGGUUGGAGGGUAAAAGGACUCCAGGAGGCUGCACAGGGUGCUACGUUCACACGCAGCUUUUCUUUUUGGACUUUGAUGAGUCAUAAUGUGUUCUCUGAACUUGCUUUUCUCUUUCUAGUUUGGUAUCAAAAGAUAGAAGUCACUUUUUCAUGUCUGUAUGGCCACAUUCACUUGUUAUGUAAGUCUGCUUUGGUUACAUUCUGUAUAGAGUAGAUACUGGGUUUAAAACUUGGUAUCUGGAUACAACACCCUCAUAAAGAAAAAUUCCAUGCACAACGUUAGGAAGCUUCUAGUCCCAACAGACAAACUGUUAAUGCUGCCUGAAAUGUUGCCUAGCUUCAAACACGAGCAGGUAAGACCGUUUAGGCAGUGAGUAUUUCAUCUUCAGUAAUGGAAACCAAGAUUUGACAAAUUGAAUCAGCUGACAUUUAAUUUAAAGAAUAGUUUAGAAUUAACAAGUAAAUUUAUUACAGAAAUAAACACUCCUCUCUCUCCUUUUUUCUUUUUUUCCUUUUUGAGUCAGAGUCUCGCUCUAUUGCCCAGGCUGGAGUGCAGUGGCGGGAUCUUGGCUCACUGCAACCGCCGCCUCCCAGGUUCAAGGGAUUCUCGAACCUCAGCUUCUCGAUUAGCUGGGAUUACAGGUGCCCGCCACCAUAUCCAGCUAAUUUUUGUAUUUUUUGUAGAGACAGGGUUUCACCAUGUUGGCCAGGCUGAUCUGGAACUCCUGAACUCAAGUGAUCCACCCGCCUCUGCCUCCCAAAGUGCUAGGAUUACAGGGGUGAGUCACCACACCCCGCUCUCUCUUUUUUUUCUAAUGGGCAUGUUCAAUAAAUUAUGUUUUUCACAAUCAUUCCCCCAAAAUACCACCCCCAAUUCUCUUUAUGAUUAUAUCGUUCUUUAGCUUAAAAUCCUUUGUCUAUUCCCAAUCCAUUUUACGGUAAGUUUCAAACUUCUUGGCAUGUUAUCCUAGGCUGUGCAUAGACAGGUCUCUACCAGCGUUGUUGACCCUGCCGCCAAAAAUGCCUGGGCUCAGGGAAAACCUGUCUACCGUUUGGUUCCUAAGUGACCACAUUGGACAUUCUCCCCUCUGACUGAAGUGCAGAUCCUCAACCCACAUCCUCAAAACUCAACUAUGACCCAGAAUCCUUCUAGUGGUCUUCCCUGUUCUCCCCAGGCAGAGGAAGCUGCUUGUCCUACUCUGCUCCCAUAGCAACCGGUGUGCGCCUCCAUUAUAGCACUUAUCACUUUGAUGCAAUUAUUUGUUUGGUGUUGUCCUCUAGAUGGUUAGUGCCUGGAGGGUGUUUCGAUUCAUCUUUGAAACCUCAGCAAUUACCCUGAUACCUAGCACAUUGUAUUUAAAAAAAGAAAAGAAAAAAAAACUUUGUUGAAGGAAAGGAUGAGAGAUAGAUAAUAAAAUUACCUGACAUAGAAAAUUUAGCCGGUCUUCACUAUUAGUAAUUAUCAUGUUAAUGAACAACAUCAGUAAGUGUUCCGAAUCUUUACAGUAUCUGCCAAGGCUUGAAAACGCUUGGAAAAUGUGUUUGGUUUUUGUUUGGUUUUGUUUUGUUUUGUUUUGGGGAGGGGGGAUGUGGGAAGAUGAGGAGAAGCUACAGCUCUUGUAGUCAUAGAAAGAGCACCGACAAGAGGUUUUGUUUGUUUUUAAAUUAGGCUAGGAGUAACAUGAAUGCAUACAUGGCAAUUGUUUAAUACAGUAGUCACAAUUAUAAUUGCAGCUCCUUUUUAUUUCUCUUUUAAAUUACAUGCCUGAAGUUGUACAGAGACUUGUACAUAUGUUGUUUAAUCCAUUUAACCCUACGAGAUCUAUGACUUCAUCUCCAUUUUACAGGUGAGGAAACUGAGAAUCAGGAAGUAAUUUGCCUAAGGCAGGGAUCUCCAAAGCGGAGUGACCAAGACAAUUUACUGUGAAAUAGGAAGAACAGAAGAAAAUCUGUUUCUUUUUUCUUUAAUAAUUGAAAAAAGUAAUGAUGCAAGGACAAAAAAGAGCUUUAUGUAUAUUUAUUAUACUCAUUGACCCUUGACCCUAGAGUGUUUUACAUGGUCCCUAAGUAAACUGGUCAUGUGUCAUGUAGUGUAGCUGAAGAGUACUGAAAAACAAAAAGCGCCACAGGCAGAGGGGUGAUACUGGCACCUUCUGGUUCUUUCAUUGUCAUUGACAUCUUUUUAAGCAUUGAUAUUGCCUUAAUUUUACAGGUUCCACGUUAAAUAAAUUCUUAAGAUUAUAUCAUCUAGUUUUUUUUUUUGUUUGUCUUUGUUUUUGUUUUUGUUUUUUGAGACAGAUCUCGCUCUGUUGCCCAGGCUGGAGUGCAGUGGCUUGAUCUCUGCUCACUGCAAGCUCCGCCUCCCGGGUUCACGCCAUUCUCCCGCCUCAGCCUCCCGAGUACCUGGGACUACAGGCGCCCGCCACCACGCCCGGCUAAUUUUUUGUAUUUUUAGUAGAGACGGGGUUUCACCGUGUUAGCCAGGUUGGUCUCGAUCUCCUGACCUCGUGAUCCGCC